rnacentral:rRNA from 1 species
GAUGAACGCUAGCGGCAGGCCUAAUACAUGCAAGUCGAACGGGAUCUGAGGGUAGCUUGCUACCCGAUUUGAGAGUGGCGCACGGGUGCGUAACGCGUGAGCAACCUACCCAUAUCAGGGGGAUAGCCCGAAGAAAUUCGGAUUAACACCGCAUAAUAAUACGCUAACACAUGUUGAUGUAUUUAAAUAUUUAUAGGAUAUGGAUGGGCUCGCGUGACACUAGCUAGUUGGUAAGGUAACGGCUUACCAAGGCGACGAUGUCUAGGGGCUCUGAGAGGAGAAUCCCCCACCAUGGUACUGAGACACGGACCAGACUCCUACGGGAGGCAGCAGUAAGGAAUAUUGGUCAAUGGGCGCAAGCCUGAACCAGCCGUGCCGCGUGCAGGAUGACUGCCCUAUGGGUUGUAAACUGCUUUUGUUAGGGAAUAAACCUUCUUACGUGUAAGGAGCUGAAUGUACCUAAAGAAUAAGGAUCGGCUAACUCCGUGCCAGCCGCCGCGGUAA